UCGUUGGGUAGGGGAGCGUUCUGUAAGCCUGUGAAGGUGUGUCGUGAGGCAUGCUGGAGGUAUCAGAAGUGCGAAUGCUGACAUAAGUAACGAUAAAGCGGGUGAAAAGCCCGCUCGCCGGAAGACCAAGGGUUCCUGUCCAACGUUAAUCGGGGCAGGGUGAGUCGACCCCUAAGGCGAGGCCGAAAGGCGUAGUCGAUGGGAAACGGGUUAAUAUUCCCGUACUUGGUGUUACUGCGAAGGGGGGACGGAGAAGGCUAUGUUGGCCGGGCGACGGUUGUCCCGGUUUAAGCGUGUAGGUGUGUGUUCCAGGUAAAUCCGGUUCACUUUAACACUGAGGCGUGACGACGAGGCACUACGGUGCUGAAGCAACAAAUGCCCUGCUUCCAGGAAAAGCCUCUAAGCAUCAGGUAACAUCAAAUCGUACCCCAAACCGACACAGGUGGUCAGGUAGAGAAUACCAAGGCGCUUGAGAGAACUCGGGUGAAGGAACUAGGCAAAAUGGUGCCGUAACUUCGGGAGAAGGCACGCUGACACGUAGGUGAAGUGAUUUACUCAUGGAGCUGAAGUCAGUCGAAGAUACCAGCUGGCUGCAACUGUUUAUUAAAAACACAGCACUGUGCAAACACGAAAGUGGACGUAUACGGUGUGACGCCUGCCCGGUGCCGGAAGGUUAAUUGAUGGGGUCAGCGCAAGCGAAGCUCCUGAUCGAAGCCCCGGUAAACGGCGGCCGUAACUAUAACGGUCCUAAGGUAGCGAAAUUCCUUGUCGGGUAAGUUCCGACCUGCACGAAUGGCGUAAUGAUGGCCAGGCUGUCUCCACCCGAGACUCAGUGAAAUUGAACUCGCUGUGAAGAUGCAGUGUACCCGCGGCAAGACGGAAAGACCCCGUGAACCUUUACUAUAGCUUGACACUGAACAUUGAGCCUUGAUGUGUAGGAUAGGUGGGAGGCUUUGAAGCGUGGACGCCAGUCUGCAUGGAGCCGACCUUGAAAUACCACCCUUUAAUGUUUGAUGUUCUAACGUGGACCCGUGAUCCGGGUUGCGGACAGUGUCUGGUGGGUAGUUUGACUGGGGCGGUCUCCUCCUAAAGAGUAACGGAGGAGCACGAAGGUUGGCUAAUCCUGGUCGGACAUCAGGAGGUUAGUGCAAUGGCAUAAGCCAGCUUGACUGCGAGCGUGACGGCGCGAGCAGGUGCGAAAGCAGGUCAUAGUGAUCCGGUGGUUCUGAAUGGAAGGGCCAUCGCUCAACGGAUAAAAGGUACUCCGGGGAUAACAGGCUGAUACCGCCCAAGAGUUCAUAUCGACGGCGGUGUUUGGCACCUCGAUGUCGGCUCAUCACAUCCUGGGGCUGAAGUAGGUCCCAAGGGUAUGGCUGUUCGCCAUUUAAAGUGGUACGCGAGCUGGGUUUAGAACGUCGUGAGACAGUUCGGUCCCUAUCUGCCGUGGGCGCUGGAGAACUGAGGGGGGCUGCUCCUAGUACGAGAGGACCGGAGUGGACGCAUCACUGGUGUUCGGGUUGUCAUGCCAAUGGCACUGCCCGGUAGCUAAAUGCGGAAGAGAUAAGUGCUGAAAGCAUCUAAGCACGAAACUUGCCCCGAGAUGAGUUCUCCCUGAGACUUAGAGUCUCCUGAAGGAACGUUGAAGACGACGACGUUGAUAGGCCGGGUGUGUAAGCGCAGCGAUGCGUUGAGCUAACCGGUACUAAUGAACCGUGAGGCUUAACCUUACAACGCCGAAG
rnacentral:rRNA from 1 species